rnacentral:rRNA from 1 species
UACAGAGGUGGCAAGCGUUGUUCGGAAUUACUGGGCGUAAAGGGCGCGUAGGCGGCCGAGCAAGUCCUGUGUGAAAUCCCCCGGCUCAACUGGGGAACUGCACGGGAUACUGCCUGGCUUGAGUUCGGGAGAGGGAAGCGGAAUUCCGGGUGUAGCGGUGAAAUGCGCAGAUAUCCGGAGGAACACCAGCGGCGAAGGCGGCUUCCUGGACCGACACUGACGCUGAGGCGCGAAAGCUAGGGGAGCAAACGGG